rnacentral:rRNA from 1 species
CCUACGGGAGGCAGCAGUGGGGAAUAUUGCGCAAUGGGCGAAAGCCUGACGCAGCGACGCAGCGUGAGGGAUGAAGGUCCUCGGAUCGUAAACCUCUGUCAGCAGGGAAGAACGGUCACUGUGCUAAUCAGCAGUGAAUUUACGGUACCUGUAAAGGUAGCAUCGGCUAACUCCGUGCCAGCAGCCGCGGCAAUACGGAGGAUGCGAGCGUUAAUCGGAUUGACUGGGCGUAAAGGGCGCGUAGACGGUAUGUCAAGUCAAGUGUGAAAGGCCCGGGCUCAACGUUGGAACUGCCUUUGAAACUGGCAAACUUGAGUAUAUUAGAGGUUAGUGGAAUUCCAGGUGUAGGAGUGAAAUGCGUAGAUAUCUGGAGGAACAUCGAUGGCGAAGGCAGCUAUCUAGAACAUAACUGACGCUGAUGAGCGAAAGCGUGGGUAGCAAACAGGAUUAGAUACCCGGGUAGUC